GCCCCUCCAGCCAAUAGCCUCCCCCGAGGAUCCGGGUCCCGCCCCAGGUGACGGGCACGGCGGGGGGGAGCUCGUCCGCAGAGCGAGCCCGAGGCGUUCCCCGCCAGACGCCCGCUUCAGAGUCAUUCACACUCUUUGCUUUUGAGUCGAAAAGGCUCACGUAGCCCAGGCUGACCUCCAACUGUGUAGCCGAGGAUAACCCUCCAGCUGGGGUGAUGGGACCCCCUGCCCAGACCUACGGGUCAUCUGAGACUGAAGACUGCUGGGUGACUGUAGCCGGUGAUAGCUCAUGCGCCCACCAUUCACUCCUGAAACACGUGUGCCCACGCCUGCCUCCCCAGCUGCGAGGCUCACGUACAAGGAUCUGGAAUUGAAGUAAAGAGUUUGAAGGUCACAGGGUCUAGCCAAGUUCGAACCCCCGGCCCAGCAGUUCUUUGCCAUCUGUCACCCUCUCCGUGAAGACAGAAUCGACCUGAAACUUGGUCUUCGGCCCAGGCUGGCUUUGAACCUAAGCUAAUCCUGCUGCCUCAGGCUUCCCAGUACUGGGAUGACAAGUGUGUGUCACGGCCGAGGAAUCUCCUGUCUCAGACGUGAAAACAUUUACUCUCUGGUUUUUACACAACGACAGAAAGUUGACUGACCUCGGAACUAAUGCGCGAUCACGGAGAAGGCAUCUCGGUGCCCAAAUGAGCUGCUAUUUGACGAAAGACCUAGUGGCUCAGGGGCAGCGCCUCACGGUUGUACCCCGACUUGUUUGUCUACGGAUGGGAAGACGUCUCGCACCCAGCUGCCCUCCGCUCCGGGUACCCCACCCUGUCUGUGCCUGCUGGGAUAAAAGCUCUGUAGAAUCUA